UACGUAGGGUGCGAGCGUUGUCCGGAAUUAUUGGGCGGAAAGAGCUUGUAGGCGGUUUGUCGCGUCUGCCGUGAAAAUCCGGGGCUCAACCCCGGACUUGCGGUGGGUACGGGCAGACUAGAGUGUGGUAGGGGAGACUGGAAUUCCUGGUGUAGCGGUGAAAUGCGCAGAUAUCAGGAGGAACACCGAUGGCGAAGGCAGGUCUCUGGGCUAACACUGACGCUCAGGCACGAAAGCGUGGGGAGCAAACAGG
rnacentral:rRNA from 1 species